rnacentral:rRNA from 1 species
CGCUGCCUACGGGGCGCAGCAGUGAGGAAUAUUGGUCAAUGGGCGCGAGCCUGAACCAGCCACGUAGCAUGAAGGAUGAUUGCCCUACGGGAUGUAAACUUCUUUUAUAAAGGAAUAAAGUGAGGCACGUGUGCCUAUUUGUAUGUACUUUAUGAAUAAGGAUCGGCUAACUCCGUGCCAGCAGCCGCGGUAAUACGGAGGAUCCGAGCGUUAUCCGGAUUUAUUGGGUUUAAAGGGAGCGUAG